rnacentral:rRNA from 1 species
AAUGGGCGAAAGCCUGAUCCAGCCAUUCCGCGUGCAGGAUGAAGGCCCUCGGGUUGUAAACUGCUUUUGUACAGAACGAAAAAGCUCUGGCUAAUACCUGGAGUCCAUGACGGUACUGUAAGAAUAAGCACCGGCUAACUACGUGCCAGCAGCCGCGGUAAUACGUAGGGUGCAAGCGUUAAUCGGAAUUACUGGGCGUAAAGCGUGCGCAGGCGGUUUUGUAAGACAGAGGUGAAAUCCCCGGGCUCAACCUGGGAACUGCCUUUGUGACUGCAAGGCUGGAGUGCGGCAGAGGGGGAUGGAAUUCCGCGUGUAGCAGUGAAAUGCGUAGAUAUGCGGAGGAACACCGAUGGCGAAGGCAAUCCCCUGGGCCUGCACUGACGCUCAUGCACGAAAGCGUGGGGAGCAAA